rnacentral:rRNA from 1 species
GACAGAGGGGGCAAGCGUUGCUCGGAAUCACUGGGCGUAAAGGGCGCGUAGGCGGGAUGGCAAGUCGGUCGUGAAAUCCCUGGGCUCAACUCAGGGGGGUCGGCCGAUACUGCCGUUCUUGAGGGAUGCAGAGGAGACUGGAAUUCCCGGUGUAGCGGUGAAAUGUGUAGAGAUCGGGAGGAACACCGGUGGCGAAGGCGGCUACCUGGACCAGCACUGACACUGAGGCACGAAAGCGUGGGGAGCAAACAGG